rnacentral:rRNA from 1 species
CGGAUCCGAGCGGUUCGAGAGAUAUCCCACUGACUGGACCGCCCAGUCCUACGGAGCACCAUUGGAAUUGACCAUGGGCACCCUGAUCCCAGCCCAUGCCGCUGAGUGAGAUGCCUCGGGUUGUAAGCUCUUUCGGCUGGGAAGAAAUCGCAUCUCCUAAUACGGGGUUGUGGAUGACGUACCAGCAUAGAAGCACCGGCUACUACGUGCCAGCAGCCGCGGUAUACGUAGGGUGCGAGCGUAAUCGGAAUACUGGGCGUAAAGCGUGCGCAGGCGGUUUCGUAAGACAGAGGUGAAAUCCCCGGGCUCAACCUGGGAACUGCCUUUGUGACUGCGAGGCUAGAGUAUGGCAGAGGGGGGUGGAAUUUCCACGUGUAGCAGUGAAAUGCGUAGAGAUGUGGAGGAACACCGAUGGCGAAGGCAGCCCCCUGGGCCAAUACUGACGCUCAUGCACGAAAGCGUGGGGAGCAAACAGGAUUAGAUACCCUGGUAGUCCACGCCCUAAACGAUGUCAACUAGGUGUUGGGUGGGUUAAACCAUUUAGUACCGUAGCUAACGCGUGAAGUUGACCGCCUGGGGAGUACGGCCGCAAGGUUAAAACUCAAAGGAAUUGACGGGGACCCGCACAAGCGGUGGAUGAUGUGGAUUAAUUCGAUGCAACGCGAAAAACCUUACCUACCC